GAGCACAGAUGUCAGUGCUAGAUUUCUAUGGCUCAAAUCCUAUCUCUGCUGCUCAAUAGCUGUGUGACCUUGGGCAAGUUGCUCCACGUCUCUGUGCCUUGAUCUCUCCAUGGAAGGGAUAAAAGCAACACCUAUCUCAUAGGGUCUUUUACAAGGAUUAAAGGAGUUAAGAUAUGUGAAAGCACUGUGCCUGGCCAAAGGAAGGUGGUGAAGGUGGGGUGGGGGAACUGCCUGGAAACUGCCAGAAAGAAGUUGCCUCACAAGAAUGAAAGGACAACUUCAAACAUGCUGGCAGAAACGCAUCAAACGUCAGCCAUGAAGCAACCCUCCAGGUCAUGCCAGCAGCCAACCUGUCGCGGGCUGUGGAAACCAAUGACCAAAGAAAGAAGGAAGCACACCUGAGCCAGCUUGCUCUCGAGCUGCAAUAUGCAAAUGAAGGCACAGGAUCAUUCUGUAGAUCCAGAUCCUUCUGAGGUGGCUUCGUUAAUCAAAGAGAAUGAACUUGCCAGAGACAAGAGAACAGUGCUGCAGCCAAGCAAAGAACAGUAGCUGUGCUUCUAAACUAGACUCUCCAAAGAGCCCAUGAACAUUUUCUAGACCAGCAUCCCAUCUCAUUCAGCCCUUCCUCCCUCUCAGAGUUUCCAGAUGUUUUACCAUCCUGAGGUCCAGCAUUAGCCAAUGGUCUUAAAAGGGACGCCUAGCAAAGAAAGGAAUAUGGGAGGUAUGGUCUGGUAGGGUGCCCUUUUCUGGGCAGUGUACUUCUGGAUGGUUGGAUGUUGAGACACUCACCUAUCUCCUAACUAUACUUUAACAUUUCCUGAACAUCUUUUGAAAAUCAUUAUUUUCAUGAUGUACAUUAUGUAAAAUAGUACAACCACUUUGGAAAACAAUUUGGCAUAGUAAAGCUGACCCAGCAAUUCCAUUUUCAGGUAUAUUCUCUAUAGAAUCUCUUGCAAAUACACAUGUAAAACAAUGUACAUAGUAAC
ensembl:lncRNA